GGGAAGGAAGCAUGCGCACACAUGAAUAGGGGUUAUUGCUCAAUCUGCAUUCACGCCCUGGUGGAAACGGACUUUCAGUUUCAGUAGCUCUGGAUGGUAGGAGAGAAGCACCAUGGCUGACAACAUCCUCAAGGCAAAGAGCAAGCAGUUCAUCCGUUCAGUGGGUGCAGAGACAAUAAAUGGCUUGCUGGAUGAACUUUUGGAGAAGAAAGUGCUGAACCAGGGAGAGAUGGAGAGAAUAAAAGCUGUAAAUGCGACUGUUAUGGACAAGGCACGGGACCUGUGUUAUUCUGUCAUUAAAAAAGGGCCUCUGGCAUGCCAAAUCUUUAUCACUUACAUUUGUAAUGAAGACGUCUACCUGGCAGAAGUUCUGGAACUCUCCUAGAAGUGAAGAUGAGAUCUGAUGGACUUCAGUCAUUUUACAGAGCUUCUUCAGGAGUACGAGUUCUUCUCAGAUGAAAAAAAAAAUCCUUGCACUGAACCAUGUCAUCAUUGGUUCUCUAUUUCAAAUAAAUUUCUGUUUGUUUUUUUUAAA